rnacentral:rRNA from 1 species
GAUGAACGCUGGCGGCGUGCUUAACACAUGCAAGUCGAGCGAGAAGUUUUGAAAAGAUUCUUCAGAUGAAAUUUAAAAUGGAAAGCGGCGGACGGGUGAGUAACGCGUAGGCAACCUGCCCCAUACAAAGGGAUAGCAUUUGGAAACGAAUAUUAAUACCUUAUGAAACUUAACUAGUGCAUGCUAGGUAGGUCAAAGAUUUAUCGGUAUGGGAUGGGCCUGCGUCUGAUUAGCUAGUUGGUGAGGUAACGGCUCACCAAGGCGACGAUCAGUAGCCGACCUGAGAGGGUGAACGGCCACAUUGGAACUGAGACACGGUCCAAACUCCUACGGGAGGCAGCAGUGGGGAAUAUUGCACAAUGGGGGAAACCCUGAUGCAGCAACGCCGCGUGAACGAUGAAGGCCUUUGGGUCGUAAAGUUCUGUUCUAGGUGAUGAAAACUGACAGUAACCUAGGAGAAAGCCCCGGCUAACUCCGG